UGCAAGUCGAGCGGAAACGAGUUAUCUGAACCUUCGGGGAACGAUAACGGCGUCGAGCGGCGGACGGGUGAGUAAUGCCUAGGAAAUUGCCCUGAUGUGGGGGAUAACCAUUGGAAACGAUGGCUAAUACCGCAUGAUGCCUACGGGCCAAAGAGGGGGACCUUCGGGCCUCUCGCGUCAGGAUAUGCCUAGGUGGGAUUAGCUAGUUGGUGAGGUAAGGGCUCACCAAGGCGACGAUCCCUAGCUGGUCUGAGAGGAUGAUCAGCCACACUGGAACUGAGACACGGUCCAGACUCCUACGGGAGGCAGCAGUGGGGAAUAUUGCACAAUGGGCGCAAGCCUGAUGCAGCCAUGCCGCGUGUGUGAAGAAGGCCUUCGGGUUGUAAAGCACUUUCAGUCGUGAGGAAGGUGGUGUAGUUAAUAGCUGCAUUAUUUGACGUUAGCGACAGAAGAAGCACCGGCUAACUCCGUGCCAGCAGCCGCGGUAAUACGGAGGGUGCGAGCGUUAAUCGGAAUUACUGGGCGUAAAGCGCAUGCAGGUGGUUUGUUAAGUCAGAUGUGAAAGCCCGGGGCUCAACCUCGGAAUAGCAUUUGAAACUGGCAGACUAGAGUACUGUAGAGGGGGGUAGAAUUUCAGGUGUAGCGGUGAAAUGCGUAGAGAUCUGAAGGAAUACCGGUGGCGAAAGCGGCCCCCUGGACAGAUACUGACACUC
rnacentral:rRNA from 1 species